GAAAUUUUCUAUUUGUUCACAGUUUGGAAGCCAUGGAACCCUUGACCAACAUGGAUUUGCUAGAAAUCGGUUUUGGACCAUUGACGAUGACCCUCCUCCUUUUCCUACAAAUAAUUUGAGCAAAGCCUUUGUUGAUUUGAUUCUUAAACCCUCUGAAGAAGACAUAAAAAAAACUGGAAUCACAGUUUUGAGUACCGUCUGAGGGUAGCUUUGGGACCAGGAGGAGAUUUAAUGUUAACUUCUCGGAUUCGGAACACAAACAGUGAUGGGAAGCCAUUUUCGUUCACCUUUGCUUAUCAUACUUAUUUAUCAGUAUCAGACAUAAGUGAAGUUCGGGUUGAGGGCUUAGAGACCCUGGAUUAUCUUGACAACCUGCAGAACAAGGAUCGCUUUACUGAACAGGGGGAUGCUUUAACGUUUGAAUCAGAACAGGG